rnacentral:rRNA from 1 species
CAAUACAUGGGCGGCGACCGGCAAACGGGUGCGGAACACGUACGCAACCUUCCUUCAAAUGGGGAAUAGCCUUUCGAAAGAGAGAUUAAUACCCCGUAACAUUUUCUGGUGGCAUCACCGGAUUAUUAUAGCUCCGGCGUUUGAAGAUGGGCGUGCGCCUGAUUAGGUAGUUGGCGGAGUAAUAGCCCACCAAGCCUACGAUCAGUAACUGGUGUGAGAGCACGACCAGUCACACGGGCACUGAGACACGGGCCCGACUCCUACGGGAGGCAGCAGUAAGGAAUAUUGGUCAAUGGACGCAAGUCUGAACCAGCCAUGCCGCGUGGAGGAUGAAGGUCCUCUGGAUUGUAAACUUCUUUUAUCGGAGAAGAAACCCCGACAUUCUUGUUGGGUGACGGUA